GGGAAACUAAACACUAAACUAAACUGGGAGGAACGGGGAAAAGAAACCUACACAUAAGUUUUGACCAAACCCCAUUCUAGCAGUUUCCCUGACCACCUACACAACACUUCCCAAAACAUCUGGUAACUCAGACCAUGUCUAAUUUCCCAUUCUUCCUUCUUUGAUUUCCCACCAGGAUAACAAGAGGGAGUCGAGAUCAACAAGAGUUAGAAAAAUUAUACUCUGUCUUCAUGGAGACUUUUGAGGCAUGUAUCAAGUUAAACACCUACAAUUUGGCUGUUUGUGCUCCUUUGCCUGCGCCUCUGUUCACAGGAAAUAUGUGCCAUUUUGUGUCCUCUCCAAAUGUUAUUUUUAUUUUAUUUUUUUAAUGGAGCCAAAUGUAAAAAAGCAUGCCAAACUGGCAUCACAGUU